rnacentral:lncRNA from 1 species
GUGAGUGUUACAGCUCUUAAGGCAGAGCCUCUGGAGUUGUUCGUUCUUCCCGGUGGGCUCGUGGUCUCGCUGGGCUCAGGAGUGAAGCUGCAGAUCUUCACGGCCAGCCUGGGCUUGUUUUCCCGGUAGUACUGGGUUCUGAGAGAGAGUAACUGCAUGGAAGGCCUUGAAGACUGGGCUUGGGCCUGCUGUACCCACAUGACUGCUUCUGCCACGUUCUACUGGCCAAGCUCUAUGGGCAGCUCAGACACAAGGGAAGAGACUCUGCUGCUUCCUGGGAGAAGCUGCAAGACCACAUUGCGAAGGAACAUGUUGUUGCUGCUCCCAUGUUACCUUCGUCAGUGACCUGAGAUGCAGACUGGAUCUAGGGAAUGGUGUUUCCUGUGUGAUGCCUUCCAGGAGUAUCUGCACCACGGGCAGUGCCAGGCCGAGGACAGAGGGCCUAAUGGAGGACACUCUACAACUCCAUCCUGCUGCUGGGGGGGCUUGGGGGCGCCUCCACGAGGGUCUUCAGAGGAAAGGCAUGUGUGUGGUCUGUGGCCUGCCAGCAGGAGAGCUGGGGGAGGCCGGCAUCUUGAGGCUGUUGGCAGCAAGUGCAGGCAGAGGCCUCGGGCCAGAGGGGAGGUGGCAGGGCUCAGGUGCCCUGUGCUUCCUCGGAGAAGGCACUUGGGAUGAAGGCUUAGUCCUGCCUGGUAAACCUGGAGGCCUGUGAACACUGGGGUUAGCCCCAACAAGGGAGGAGGUUCCCGCUGCCUCACUAAGAACAGCCUGCUGCUACACUCACCCUGACAGCUGCUCCGCUCCCAGUGAACCCCACCCCGAGAAGGCUCAUCGGGGCCACGGACCUCCCUCAGCGCUGCAUUCAGAAUCCCUCAGGAGUUGUAAACUUCCUGAUUUCUGGACCCAUCACCAGAGCCCAACGUCACGGGUAAGGGUUAGGGCCUGGAUGUCAGGAUUCAAUUUGGAGAAUUCCCCGGGGCAAUUCCACCAUUGCAGACACUGAAACGGAGCUGGGGCAGAAGAAUCACACCAGGUGGCUCGAGCUGAGCGGCUGGGAGUGUGGCAGUGAAGACACUGAGUGUCCGUCAGGGAAGAUGGCUCUGGGUACAACAGCGUGCCCAGCCCCUUAGAUAUUCUCUGCACGGAAGUGGCCCCACCCUGAAGCGCGUGUGCAGUGACUGUUCAUGCUUCUGUGUGUGUGCAGGAGUAGUUUGGUUGGAGUGUGCAUAUGCGAAUGUGUGUGUAUGGAAGUCUAUCUAUCUGUAAUGUAAAGCAGUUGCGUAAUGCAAAUGUGUGUGUAUGGACAUCUAUCUGUAAUGCAAAGCAGUUGCGUAAUGCAAAUGUGUGUGUAUGGAUGUCUAUCUAUCUGUAAUGUAAAGUUCCCAAGUAUUGUGUAUAUCAUUGUUUGAGUUUUUAAAUUCUAAGAUAAUUUCUAGAGAAAAAGAUGUACGGGUGAUUCCUGGUGAAAAGCAGGGACCGUGGGCCUCAUAUUGAGACACAUUUCACGCUGUUUAGAUUGUAAUGGCAAUUAUGUAUGACUUUUGUACGUUUUUUAAAAAGCCAAUAAAAUACAUUUUAAAAUGUGGAAUUAUUUCUUCUAAUUUAAA